UAUAGAUGAUGAAAAUUGAGACUUGGACCUAGAACGGAAAGAAAUCGAUUUAUGGACGAGUAUGUCCUUUUCACAUUUGUGGUAUCGAGAGUUCCAGGUUAGCUCGGGUUGGAGGCCGUUAGAGAUAUUAUCACCCUAUCGAGUUAACGUUAUCGGAGUAAGUAAACUCAAGUGAUUCGAGUCUAUGGCAUGUAUAGGGUUUUAAUGUGAGUAUGUAAUAUUAUGAUUUAGCCAAAGGCAUUGGCUUGUUAUUAAGGUAGUAUUAGUCAUGUAAAUUGGCCUAUGUCGUCUAAUGACGUUAUGGGCCCAUAUGAUUAUUCUUAUGCAUUUAUGUUAUUAUUUCUUGUGAUGUGGCUUACAACAUGUAUGCCUAGAGAUUGAAUUGAGAUUCAUUGAUGAGCUAGUAACUAAUGCAGGAUUAAGUGAUUGGUAAAUAGUUAAUAA